GGUGCUGUGGCUUAGUUGGUUAAGGUGCCUGUCUAGUAAACAGGAGAUCCUGGGUUUAAAUCCCAGCAGCACCU
rnacentral:tRNA from 1 species